rnacentral:rRNA from 1 species
AAUGAGGACGAUUAGCCAUGCUAGUCGCACGAGUUCAGACUCGUGGCGAAUAGCUCAGUAACACGUGGCCAAACUACCCUUCGGAACACAAUACCCUCGGGAAACUGAGGCUAAUAGUGUAUACCAUACCACCACUGGAAUGAGUGGUAUGCCAAACGCUCCGGCGCCGAAGGAUGUGGCUGCGGCCGAUUAGGUAGACGGUGGGGUAACGGCCCACCGUGCCAAUAAUCGGUAUGGGUCAUGAGAGUGAGAACCCAGAGACGGAAUCUGAGACAAGAUUCCGGGCCCUACGGGGCGCAGCAGGCGCGAAACCUUUACACUGCACGACAGUGCGAUAGGGGGAUCCCAAGUGCACAGGCAUAGCGCCUGUGCUUUUCGGUACCCUAAGGCGGUACCAGAAUAAGGGCUGGGCAAGACCGGUGCCAGCCGCCGCGGUAAUACCGGCAGCCCAAGUGAUGGCCGAUCUUAUUGGGCCUAAAGCGUCCGUAGCUGGCCGCGCAAGUCCAUCGGGAAAUCCACCUGCUCAACAGGUGGGCGCCCGGUAGAAACUGCGUGGCUUGGGACCGGAAGGCGCGACGGGUACGUCCGGGGUAGGAGUGAAAUCCCGUAAUCCUGGACGGACCGCCGAUGGCGAAAGCACGUCGCGAGAACGGAUCCGACAGUGAGGGACGAAAGCCAGGGUCUCGAACCGGAUUAGAUA